rnacentral:rRNA from 1 species
UUCCGCUAAGACCGCAUAAGACCACAGCACCGCAUGGUGCAGGGGUAAAAUAUUUAUAGGUAUAAGAUGGAUCCGCGUCCGAUUAGCUAGUUGGUGAGGUAAAGGCCCACCAAGGCGACGAUCGGUAGCCGGCCUGAGAGGGUGAACGGCCACAUUGGGACUGAGACACGGCCCAAACUCCUACGGGAGGCAGCAGUGGGGAAUAUUGGACAAUGGGGGAAACCCUGAUCCAGCGACGCCGCGUGAGUGAAGAAGUAUUUCGGUAUGUAAAGCUCUAUCAGCAGGGAAGAAAAUGACGGUACCUGACUAAGAAGCCCCGGCUAACUACGUGCCAGCAGCCGCGGUAAUACGUAGGGGGCAAGCGUUAUCCGGAUUUACUGGGUGUAAAGGGAGCGCAGACGGCAAUGCAAGUCCGAAGUGAAAGGCGUGGGCUCAACCCAUGAACUGCUUUGGAAACUGUAUAGCUUGAGUGUCGGAGGGGUAAGCGGAAUUCCUAGUGUAGCGGUGAAAUGCGUAGAUAUUAGGAGGACACCGGAGGCGAAGGCGGC